GAGGGUGCGGGGCCAGCCAGUCUGCCGGCAAACGCCGCGCGGCGCGCACGCCACGGCCCACGCUCCGCCACGCGGUCACACGCGACACACGCCGAGCGACUCACUACGGGAUUGUGACCGUUUAGUACCGGAAACAUAUGUGCGCACGGACCGCUUUCUCAAAGAUACUGUGACUAUCAGCAAUCCCGACGACGUCAGUGUUUGGAUAUGUUGUAAAAUGCUAAGAGACAAUGUAUCUGCGCUAGAGUGCUACACAGUGAGAGGCACAGAAUGUGACCAGAGAUCAGAGUGACGUGAUGCAACUAGUAAUGCUAAACUUCCUAAUCAUGUUCGACGUGGUGUUCGUAUUCUUUUUGUUCCUGAUAGCAGUGACGUGUGUCAUGAACUACAUGCCAGGGAAAAGUAAGAAGCAAGACGUCAUCGAGGAUGAAGUAGACGAUGACGUCAUCCCACCCCCUCCCCUCUUCGCCGGAGAUGACAAUGACCUCCCUUCGACCAGCCGAGACACAUACGUGGUCAUACCACCGCCGCUAGACAGCGUCAGAGCUAAAGACGGCUGUCCCAUCCACGUCGUCUAGUAUAAGUAUUGAUAUAAUCAACGUAGCAGUUUAUUACGAAGAAGCCUUAUGAGAUUGUAGGUGUCGAUAAAUUAAAAUGUAGAUUUUUUUUACCAAUUAGUCGAGUUUUAAUAUUUCUUGUUACGUAAAGACUAAAAUGGUGGAAAUUCGGGACUCAAGUGAAGGUAUGUAUUAUGAAGAUCUUGGCUAUUUUUAUCGGGAUGUUAUCGAUGUUAUCAACAGAAGUAAAUCUCUUUUUGCAGGUUUGCAAUUUAUCGACAAACGCUAAUGGAAAUUGCGAUAUUGAUUUGUUACUAUAGACUUAAGUAGAUACACAUUAGGCUAAGCAAAUUGAUUGAAUAGUAGUUAGGAUCAUUUGUUGAGUCACUGCUAUCAAACGUCUUAUGGUUAGAUUGUUUAUAUUUAUUUAUCUGUUUACAUUUAAUUAAUUACAAUUUCUUUCUAGUCUCAAUAGUUACAUAGCUUUAUUUCGACAUUUACAUUGUUAUUAAAAGGUUCUUGAUUUGUUAGUGUUUUAAGCCCCGUAUCUCUAAGGUACUUACCGUUAUUUGAAUUUAAGUAAAGUGUUCAAACGCUACAGAUAUUUGCAAGUGCUUGUUUAAGAUGAAUGUGACUGAAUAAUAGUUAAAAUAGUUUAAUAUUAUAGAAGUUACGAUAUUAUAGUAAUACAGUUGGUUUUGUUCUUUUGUGAUAUUUGAUUUUCAAAAAGUAUAAAACAUUUUUAAAAUAUAAGUUUAGGUUAAGUUUUUUUUUGUAAGUUUUCAAAACUAUUAUUUUCAUUUAUGAUUUAAGUAACUUUAGUGACAUUGACACUCAUAUUCCCGAAUUUACCUAAAAUAUAAUUAUCACGAUCGGUUGUUAGACGUUAGCAUAAUAAUUAAAAGACACAAAAUACAAAUUUUCAUGUAGUGAGGCCAACUCCACGUAGUAACACAAAAUAUACCACAAAACUGUAUUCUUUUACAUUAUAAAUCAAAAUUAAAUCGUAAAGCACAUCUCCUUAUGGCUAUUGCACAUGUCAAGAACACAUACCUUGUUAUAUUUAUUAAGUUAUCGCUAAAACAUCACUAUUGAAACACUAAUCCAUUAAUAUAUAGAAUGUAUGGGAUGAAGAAUAGUACAGUCAUGAGCAAAAUCAUGUAUUCACUUUAGAACUCUAUCGCUUAUAUUUACAUUUAGUGAGACUUAGAUCAAUUUAUCAAAAAGGUUAAUGUGACGAAGUAGGUGCUAAAGUGUAUACAUUAAUAUUAAUGCUCAUGACUGAACGUAUAAUAAAAUGACAGUUCAGAUAUGAACAGUUCUUCGCUCAGUGAUCGCAAAAUAUAAACAAAUGACUGUAAAGGCUCUGAGGACACAUUUUUUUUUCUAUCUGAUGUAUUUUAAUUCUGACGUUCUAUUGUCCCCUUUUCCAUACAAACAUUAAGCUUUGAUAAUAUUCAAAUAAUAUAUCCAUCGACCAACAUUCACUUUAUGCUGAUUUAAAUAAUUAAAUAUUACUUUUUCUCUCAUCGUCAUACGCAUGUUUUCGACAGUUACAUACUCUAUCAUAGUUCUAUGAACGCUGUAAGUACGUAAUAUUUUGCAACCUGCAAGCUUACCUCUAUAGAGACCAAUAUCGGUGAUUAUUCAUACUAAUCGGCUUUGAGCACAGAUGCCGAGACUUGGCUAUUUAUAACGUAGAAUUAGAUAUCUAAUUUGUUAGAGUUCGUAAUGUUUAUUUUAUUAUUUAAUUAUUAUUAGAUUAUAUAACUUAAUAACAGACGGAAUAAAGUCGUGAAUCUGUGUCACGACUUUAUCAUUUUUAAUUUGGAACUGGCAUAUUAUUUCAUUUGUUUUUAUUUUGAUUUCUUCUUUUUCGAACGGGAACGUUUUCCCGCCUUUUUAAAAGGCGGUGACGUGGAAUUUUGUUCGGUUGCGGUAAUCUGUUAUGAAGAGUUGGAGAGUUAACAUUGUUUAUGAAAAUAUAACAUUAUUCAAGAGAAUUGCUGAAUUUUUUGAUUACGACGAGCACCUCCCCACCUGAGAGCCGUAGUAUUGUCACAAAUUCAACAAACGCUGAACGAAAAUUUGCGCGCAUUCUCGAAUGCAGGGGAUAUGAUAAGGCGACUUUGAACCAAUUUGUAUAAAAGCAAUCUUGCAAUUUGCAUUGACAUUUGACAUGAACUAUUAAAUAGCAAUAUUGCUUUUUCUAGUGAAUUGUUUCAAUGUGGCCUUUUUGAUCCCCCGGGUGUGUAAUUCUCUAUGCCACUAUUGUAUGAUUAUUAAAAAACAUUACAAAAUAGACUUAGAUGAAAUAUUCGGUCUACACGCUUAGAUCGAUGAGCCUUGUAUGGAGAGUAUAGUCAUCAUUGCUUGGGCCACGAGCAUAUAACUGAAUUUGCUUUAAGGAAAUCACAUCUAAUCGGUAUCGAUAGUACUUUUAUGUAUCUGUGCCCUAUGUCGAUUGGUAUGAAAAGUACCUCAAUGGAGCUGCUAUAAAUUAUACCAUCACCUGUUAAAGUAAUUUAAAUUCCACUUUUUCUGUAUCUUAAUAAGGCUAAUAUUGAGAAGCAUAUUAUACUGAAGCAGCUAUUACGGCUAUAUACACUAGAUUUAAGACCUAAUAUAAUAAAAGGACAAUACAUGUAUUACGAAAGGAUAUAUCAUAAUUCUGCUCGAUUCUACGAAAAGACCAAGUUUCUGACUUGGGUGGUGUUCGCCGGGAAUUUCAUUAGAUAUCUUGUAAACAGUCGCGUCGGCGUCUUUUAGGGUUUUUCCCUGUAAUAUCAUCCAAAAUCGUUAGACAGAGAUAUGCAAACGGAAAUCUAGAGCUUUAGGAAUGUAAUAAGUGUCUAUUUAAACCAACUCGCGACGUGUUAUCCGAGAUGCGGUUUAAAUUUGUGGAUAAAGAAGAAUUUUGUCAAUGAAAGUACGAGAUAUUGCUGUCGGUUUUUGCGUAUUUUAAAUCUGGCAGUCGCAGAUAAAUAUAACAAUGUUAUAAUUAGUGACGUAAUUUCAAUCACAUAAUUGAAUUUAAAGUAUACGAGCUCAAUAAAAAUAUGCAAUUUUAAAUUUAACAAAGAACAAGAAGAUAAAAAAGCGGAACUUGCUUGAGUAGUGAAAAAACAAGAAGAAAACAAAUAAAACAGAAACAAUGACAAUAAAACACGGCGCAACAUUAGCUAAAGUAAUUAACACCAGGUCAAUCUAAUGCAAGGGAGUCUUAUUAGUCGCAAGGAAAAAUAAACUAAAUAAUACAACAAAUCUUGACGCUUUUCUAGAAUCGUGUAAAUUACCUUAUACAUUGUGAUAUGAAAUGAAGCAAAUAUGAGAAAAGACGAUAAACUUUAUAAAAGUGUAAACUUAUGCAAAUCAAUGAAAAUUACUAGCUGACGAUGGAAUCUUUUGUGAAAUACCAAAAGGCUCCCAAAAUUUCAUUUUUUUGACGGUCAUAUACUUAACAAUUAUGCUUGUGCAAAAGAGUUGAUAUUAUAAAUUGCUCCUUUCAUUCACACUGUGUAAAGUAAAACAGCAGAAGAAAUAGAUCCUUGUUUCUUACAAAUGAUAGCAUAGCAUCAAUCGAGUUUCUAUGAGAUAAUUGUUGUGACUGAUUAUAAUGAAUGUGAAGUUUAGUGCUGUACAACAUGGAUAAAUAAUUAUAGUUCUGAGAUGUGGUAAUAAUGUUCAGGCUUCUACAACAUUGUGUUUUAAAAUACUGAAUAGACUACGAAAAAAUAUAUAGCAUCAAAUUGAAAUAAAUUAGCUACCUAAAAUAUAACUAUUUUAAGUUGCCUUUAGCCCGAAACUUUUAGAUAAUUAACAUACGUUUCACAAUUAUCUACUAUUUUAUUUAAAAGGCUGAAAUUAAACUGACAAGAGACAGGCGCAAGUGUAUAAUUCCCUAAAUUAGACUAUAAUUACGAAGUCCCUUUCAAUAGAGGUACAGUUAACACGUUCUCAAUUAAGCAUGUAUAUGUUUAUGUUGGCUGCUUAAUAAUAUAUAUUUUUGUAGUCUAUUGUAUUUUAGUAUGUUGCAAUAAGUCCUUGGUCAUCAGUGUAUCAACUUAAUAUUGAUAUCAUGUAGCGAAUAAUUUGGAUAGAAAAUAUCAAGUUAAAAGAAAAUUUUAAAAACGACACAGUUAAAAAUGUUAAUUUAAUAUCAAGAUAAAAAUACACUUGUGAUAUAUAUACACAAUUUUUAAAGCGUAGAUAUAGAUAAUUGAAAUACAUUGUUUUGAAAUUAUUGUUAUACGAGGUGUCACUAAAAGCGCGAACAAUAUAACGAUUAUAAUUAAUAAAAUGCACUAACGCAUUGUCGUCAUAUCA